GGAAAAAUAAACAUCUCUGAAACCUUAACUGUUUUCUCACCAUUGUUUUACACUAAACCAUUUAAUUGCAAUCUUUACUUUCUUGUUAAUUGUUUAUGCGUUUACAACAACAAUAACUAUCUUUUACUGUUUGCCUGACUAAGUCCAAUAGGACAACCAUUGCUUGCUCAGUCCGACAAUCCUCGUGAGAUCAACCAUCACUCACCUGAGGUAUUACUUGGAUGACCCGGUGCACUUGCCGGUUAAAUUCUGCGAGUUCUAAUCUCGCGGACUAGUGGUCCCCUACUGAGGCGGCGGAGUAAGUGCUGCCAUCGGUGCCCCACCAGCAACGCCGCUGCCUCCAGCACACAUCUGCUGGCUGUACUCCUCCAUUUAUUAUCGCAACCGAUCGAGUUGCUCCAGCUUCUCCAUCAGGUCCGAGCUAACGGCAACGUGUGCAAAAAUCUCUCGAUAUCUCUUCUCAGACUACUCCACCUGCUGGUGAAACUCUUGUGUUAUCUUCUGCACCUCCCCCCUUAGGUCGACAACUUCCUGAGGAUCAGCAGGGCUAGUGGCAGAGACAGAGGCAGAGAAAGCCACCAACGCAGAGGAGUAGAGGACACUGGCGAAGAACAAGCCCAACUCAAAGCAGCGAUUCUUGUGGGGUUCAGAGGCGGUCUCGCACCAAAUCUGUCCAGAUCCACGACUGAGAUCUCGGAGCCGGCUUUAUCGGCUCCACUAGGCGGCUGAAAUUGAACUCAUGACUGCAUGCCAUCAGGUCAAAUUGCUGCAUCUGCAUGGGGGCAUAGCAGAAAGAGGCACCCAGUUUGGGUUUGGGACCAUGAUGAAUUGCGGGUCCAUCGACGGGAUAGUCGAGGUAAAGGGCAACGAUUGGGCAGCCCUGGGAGAUUCAGUGGAAGUCGCCCUCUACCAUGACCAUGUGUCCCAUUCGACCUACCUCUGCUGCCUGUCGUCAUGUCUGUACAUCAAAUAUAUUAAUAACAUAAC
rnacentral:lncRNA from 1 species